UGUGGUAGCAUAAUCACUAGGUUGUUACUAUGAAUUUUGUAUGAAUGAUCUAUCAAGAGAAAAACCGUCGUUAUCCUAAAGUUAGAAUUUAAUUUUUAUGUGAAGAGGGGAUAAUAUUCUAAAGGGUCGAUAAGUCCCUGAUUUAAUUUUCCAGCAGUUGUUAAUAAUUUAUUGAAUUUGUCUGUACUACGAAUCAAAUUUAAUAAUUUGUUAUGGUGGGGAGACAAAAUGAAAUAAUUUAUAUUUACAAUGUUAGGAGAGGAAUUCAGGAGUCUAGUGGUCCGAUUGGAAUAGAUCCUCCUUAACAAUUAAAAGAUAAAGUCACACUAGGAUAUAACAGCAGUUUUUCUCUUGAUAGUUCAUA
rnacentral:rRNA from 1 species